ensembl:lncRNA
AUGAAUCCAACAGCUUCAGGCGGGAUGAGAAAAAAAUUUGCAAUGGGAGGCCAAAACAAAAAUACACUGGCAACAUUUAUUUGUCAGAUAAAAGGAAGCAAGGUGGGAGACCAGAUAAGAGGCAGAAGGAGAAUAAAAGAAGACAAAGGAACAUGGUGCUCCACUAAAAACAUUAAACUCUCCAUGAUCUCUCUUGGCAAGCAGUUCUUCCCCACCAUCAGUAAUUUGGAGAUAUCAAGAAAAACCCAAGAUACUUUUCCAAGGAAAGGAGGAGGUUUAGGGUGGAGAAGAACCACAGAAACAAAUAAAUAUAAAGAGCUCAGUAUUUAUACUCAUGAACAUUGAAUCAGGAAGGUAUUUGCUGAGCCUCCUCAAGCUGUGUCCCACAGGAGGUGGCCCCACCUGCCUCCUCAAGUACUGCUCAGCUUAGCCAGACACAUCUCUCAGAGUUUGAAUGAGGCUGCAGCAAACCAUCAGCAGCUCUACUGUGCCACCUGCAUGCCUCAGCCUCUAGCCCAAAGUCCCAGGCUCCUGUUCAGACUGAAAUGCAGCCCUGAAAAGCAGCAAGACCACACUGGACUGCGAUGAACUGAAGACACUUCGGUUCAGCAUUUUUUCCCUUGGACUCAGCUUUGCCUAAGGAGCUGCUGCAGGCUGUCUUCCCCUGCCUCCCUGGGCUGAAUGCAGCUCCCCAUAGUUGGCAGCAUGCUGUGGGGAAGAGGACCUGAGACAGUUUGGGCACAGUCACGGCUGCUGCCAUGGCAGUGUGGGCACCAUCAGCUCUGCAUGCAGGAGUCCACUGAACUGGCUUCCUGCAGACUGUACAGGAGGUGGAAUUAGGUCAUCUGUGAGCAGGUAAAGGAAAAGCAAGACUGUGACUGUGCUGUCUAAUGAACACAACAGAAGAAAGAGCUUCAGGAAAAAUAUCCCAUACCAAAACAAACCAAAAACCCCCUAACAAUAACACCACAUUUUCAGUAUAGAACAGGAUCUUCCAAAGCUCACUUGCCAUAAAGGCUUGGCUAAUUUCCAUAGUCUCAAACAAGUGGUUUGUACUUAGCCUUACAAGUAAAGACAAUGGUCUUUACAUGACCCUUAAAAUGAUGUUUGAAUCUCAGGGCCAGAACUGCUAAAUUUCCUCAGCAACUCUGUUGGGGAUUGUAAACAGUGCUUCUCCAUUAUCAAAAAAAAAAAAAGGAAAGGAAGAUUACUCUGUAUCCAUGGCUACAUGACUACACACCAUAUCAUCAAUACCAUGUCUCUGAGCAGCUGAGAGUGUCUGACAUAUUUUGGAAUUUUAAUGAAACCCAUCAGGGAAUAUCUGAUAGGUAAAACAUUUGGAAAUCAAACAAUCCAGGGAGCCAUAUAAAACUCAAGUGAGGACUGCUUCAGUUCUCAUUUUUGUCACACCUUUAUGCAUUUUCAAGCACAUUUCUACCUUUAAAGUUAUCUCUGCCAAACCUGCUGUCAGAGCAGUUUGGUUAUUACCCAUUCCCAGCUGAUGCUAUCAAGCUGACCUGUGGUGAGGCAGGGCUGUCAGAGUAAGCGGAUUCCAAUGUACAGUAGUUGAAAUAAUAAAUGACAGGGGCUAUACA